GACGAACGCUGGCGGCGUGCUUAACACAUGCAAGUCGAACGGUAAGGCCCUUCGGGGUACACGAGUGGCGAACGGGUGAGUAACACGUGGGUGAUCUGCCCUGCACUUCGGGAUAAGCCUGGGAAACUGGGUCUAAUACCGGAUAGGACCACUGCCUGCAUGGGUGGUGGUGGAAAGCUUUUGCGGUGUGGGAUGGGCCCGCGGCCUAUCAGCUUGUUGGUGGGGUGAUGGCCUACCAAGGCGACGACGGGUAGCCGGCCUGAGAGGGUGACCGGCCGGACUGGGACUGAGAUACGGCCCAGACGCCUACGGGAGGCAGCAGUGGGGAAUAUUGCACAAUGGGCGCAAGCCUGAUGCAGCGACGCCGCGUGAGGGAUGACGGCCUUCGGGUUGUAAACCUCUUUCAGCACCGACGAAGCGCAAGUGACGGUAGGUGCAGAAGAAGGACCGGCCAACUACGUGCCAGCCGCCGCCGUAA
rnacentral:rRNA from 1 species